UACGGAGGGUGCAAGCGUUAUCCGGAUUCACUGGGUUUAAAGGGUGCGUAGGUGGCUUUGUAAGUCAGUGGUGAAAUCUUAGAGCUUAACUCUAAAACUGCCAUUGAUACUGCUUAGCUUGAAUCAAGUAGAGGUGGAUGGAAUAAUACAUGUAGCGGUGAAAUGCUUAGAUAUGUAUUAGAACACCGAUUGCGAAGGCAGUUCACUAUGCUUGUAUUGACACUGAGGCACGAAAAGCGUGGGGGAUCAAACAGG
rnacentral:rRNA from 1 species